CGCUAGGAGAGCUUACUCUUAGUAGUGCCUGCCCAGUGCAAAGUUGUAAACGGCCGCCCUAGCGUGAGGGUGCCAAGGUAGCGAAAUUCCUUGCCUUUUAAUUGUAGGCCUGCAUGAAUGGAUUGACGAGGGCCAAUCUGUCUCUUGCUUUGUGAAACGAAAUUGGACUAAAGGUGAAGAUACCUUUAUGUAAAAGUCAGACAAGAAGACCCCGUGCAGCUUUAAAAAUUUACUUAUUAAGAGUGGCAAGAUUUUUAGGUGGGGCGCCUAGGAAGUAAAGUGUAACCUUCUUAUUUGUUAAGAGUAACUUUCCAGUGUAGACCCGGCAAGCCCGAUCAUAGGAGAAGUUACGCCGGGGAUAACAGGCUUAUCCAUUAGUAGAGCUCGUAUUGGCUAAUGGGAUUGGCACCUCGAUGUUGAAUUAAGGAUAAUAACUCUAGGGCGUAGAAGCUUUGGAAGUGGGUCUGUUCGACCUUUUAAUACCUU
rnacentral:rRNA from 1 species